AUUGACCGCUAGCGGGAUGCUUUACACAUGCAAGUCGAACGCAGUGGGGACGGGUGAGUAACACGUGGGUAACCUCCCAUCAGAGGGGAUAACACUUGGCAACAGGUGCUAAACCGAUACUGAUGGAUGGACCCGCGGUGCCUUAGCUAGUUGGUGAGGUAACGGCUCACCAAGGCCACGAUGCAUAGACGACCUGACAGGGUGAUCGGCCACCAGGGGACGCAGACACGGCCCAGACUCCUACGUGAGGCAGCAGUAGGGAAUCUUCGGCAAGGGACGAAAGUCUGACCGAGCAACUCCGCUUGAGUGAAGAAGGUUUUCGGAGCGUAAAACUCGGUGGUUAGAGAAGCGGUAUCUAACCAGAAAACCACGGCGAACUACGUGACAGCAGCCGCGGUAAUAC
rnacentral:rRNA from 1 species